CCUUAAUGAUGACAGAGAAAGAGAAAUUCCACCACUCGGGUCCUAUGAUACCAUUCUGCUGUCAAGCGGGCGUCUCGGCGGACAGAGAAUCAAACAUGGCUUCCUGCGGGUGGAGCGGCGCUGAAGGUCACGCCACAACCCGAAGGAGCAGGGGGAGAGGCAGCACUUCAGAGGAGCUGCCAGCUUUCCCACACCAAAUUAAGUCAUCUGUGAAGACGCGCAGCUCCUCGCCUUUUUCUUCAGCAUUAGGGGUCAGAUGCCCUAUCGAGCUGCUGCAGAUGAGAUACAAGCUCAUUUUCUAUACCGCCUUCUUCAUUAUAUUUUCCUACAAUUUAUUAAGUAAUUAAAAUUCUCCUAUUACA